rnacentral:rRNA from 1 species
CCUACGGGAGGCAGCCGUGAGGAAUAUUGGACAAUGGGCGCAAGCCUGAUCCAGCCAUGCCGCGUGCAGGAAGAAGCAUCUAUGGUGUGUAAACUGCUUUUGUACAGGAAGAAACACUCCCUCGUGAGGGAGCUUGACGGUACUGUAAGAAUAAGGACCGGCUAACUCCGUGCCAGCAGCCGCGGUAAUACGGAGGGUCCGAGCGUUAUCCGGAAUCAUUGGGUUUAAAGGGUCCGUAGGCGGUUUAAUAAGUCAGUGGUGAAAUCUGGUCGCUCAACGAUCAAACGGCCAUUGAUACUGUUAGACUUGAAUUAUAAGGAAGUAACUAGAAUAUGUAGUGUAGCGGUGAAAUGCUUAGAUAUUACAUGGAAUACCAAUUGCGAAGGCAGGUUACUACUUAUGGAUUGACGCUGAUGGACGAAAGCGCGGGGAGCGAACAGGAUUAGAUACCCUGGUAGUCCACGCCGUAAACGAUGGAUACUAGCUGUUCGGAGCAAUCUGGGUGGUCGUAGACGAAGUAGAGUAAGUAUCCACCCGUCGGGAGGUACGGUUCGUCGAAGAAGUAGAAACGUUAAAGGUAAAGUUAGUACGGCGUGAGACGUGCCGAACGGACGACGACGAGGGAGGAGGG